rnacentral:tRNA from 3 species
CGGGGUGUAGCGCAGAUGGUAGCGCACCUGCUUUGGGAGCAGGGGGUCGGAGGUUCGAAUCCUCUCACCCCGACCA